AUGGAUGGUAGAUGUGAGAAUGUGGGGGUACGAAUGUGGGGGUGUUUCUGAAUGGUAAUUUUUGUUGAACAUUGUGUUGUGAUGGGGCUACCAACCCUUAACUGUUUUGGAGUUUAAAUUGGAAGUGCCCUUCUGGUACGAGGCCUGACCGGAGGCUUUUAAUCUGGUACCACGGGUAACCAGGAGCCCACGGAACUUGUUCCGUCCUGGUUAGUUGGUGCGGCCCUUCGGGGAGUAUCGUGGUGGUUGUGGUUUAACACCCAAAUGCGGGUAGAGCAUCGCUCGACGUGGAGUUGCGUCAUACAACCGGGUUCCGUGACCCAGAUUACGGAAGAGGCUUAGAUAGUCCUCGUGCCAAACCAAGGUAGAAGUCACAACCAAACAGUCGUGUCUUUAAUUGGUACCUGCGGAAUUGUUCCAAGGGGGCGGUGAUUGACGCUUGAAUUAAUCCUAUACUAGGAACCGUGAGAUUAAGCCAUCGCGGCAGGUGCUCACGUUAAGCCCACUGACUUUCAUGUCCCUAUCUACUAUCUAGCGAAACCACAGCCAAGGGAACGGGCUUGGAAUAAUUAGCGGGGAAAGAAGACCCUUUUGAGCUUGACUCUAAUCUGGCAGUGUAAGGAGACAUAAGAGGUGUAGAAUAAGUGGGAGAUAUUAGACUUCGGUUUGGUAUCGACAAUGAAAUACCACUACUCUUAUUGUUUCCUUACUUACUUGAUUAAAUGGAACGUGUAUCAUUUCCUAGCCAUUAUACGGAUAUAAUUAUUAUGUCUUAUGGUAUUGGGUUUUGAUGCAAGCUUCUUGAUCAAAGUAUCACGAGUUUGUUAUAUAAUCGCAAACAAAUUCUUUAAUGAGAGAAUGCAUUUAUGUAUUAUUGAUUUAAAAAUUUGGUAUAACUCCAAUUACUCAGGUAUGAUCCAAUUCAAGGACAUUGCCAGGUAGGGAGUUUGACUGGGGCGGUACAUCUCUCAAAUAAUAACGGAGGUGUCCCAAGGCCAGCUCAGUGCGGACAGAAACCACACAUAGAGCAAAAGGGCAAAUGCUGACUUGAUCUCGGUGUUCAGUACACACAGGGACAGCAAAAGCUCGGCCCUAUCGAUCCUUUUUGGUUUAAAGAGUUUUAACAAGAGGUGUCAGAAAAAGUUACCAUAGGGAUAACUGGGCUUGUGGCGGCCAAGCGUUCAUAGCGA
rnacentral:ncRNA from 1 species